rnacentral:tRNA from 1 species
CAGAAGAUAGUUUAUUUAAAUAAAAUAAUAAUUUUGGAGAUUAUAGAUAAGGAGUUUCUUUUUUUCUGA